rnacentral:lncRNA from 1 species
GGUGUUGAGCCUGCUUCUAACCAAGUUAAGCUAGAGGAGCUUCCGCUCUUUGAGUUUCAAGUGUUAGCUACAGCAACUGAUGACUUCUCUCUCAGAAGCAAGCUCGGACAAGGCGGAUUUGGUCCUGUUUACAAGGUAAAUACAUUUAAAAAAAAAAAAACUUUCUGAAAAGUUACCUGUAUACAAAAAUCUCAUAUUAAUAUUUUUUACUUCAGGGAAAGUUACCUGAAGGGCAAGAAAUAGCAGUGAAGAGGCUCUCAAGGGCAUCAGGACAAGGACUUGAGGAGCUUAUGAACGAAGUGGUUGUGAUUUCGAAGUUGCAACAUAGGAAUCUGGUGAAGUUACUUGGU